AUGAUGAUCCACCAGCCAGCUGCAUCUCUUGAGCUGGAAAAGUUGCAGCAGCAGCAGAGGACAUUAGCAGACCCGUGUGAUGUGCAGCUGAAGCAGAGAGGAUGUGUAAAGCUGGUAGAACGGGUAGAAGAGAGGAAGAAUGAGUUAGCCUUUUUCACUCAUGUGGGUGGGAGAAAGACAGGCAGUCAAACAUUCGGCAAGGAUUCCAGGCAGUGUGAAGGUGGAGCACUGGGACCCAGAGGUAUUGAGCUGCCAAAGGUCACAGAGGUUGCAUUGAAGUUGAGAGCUGAACUUGUGCUCCUAUGUCCUGAUCAAGCAGAGCUCCAAGAUGGAGUUUAAAACUAUGAGUGAAUGUGUGCAGAACAGCAGCUUUAAUCCUGGAACUUCCAAAGUGUUGAACGCUUGACUUGGAGAUCUG
rnacentral:lncRNA from 1 species